rnacentral:rRNA from 1 species
GGGUUGUGAGGUUAAGCGACUAAGCGUACACGGUGGAUGCCCUGGCAGUCAGAGGCGAUGAAGGACGUGCUAAUCUGCGAAAAGCGUCGGUAAGGUGAUAUGAACCGUUAUAACCGGCGAUGUCCGAAUGGGGAAACCCAGUGUGUUUCGACACACUAUCAUUAACUGAAUUCAUAGGUUAAUGAGGCGAACCGGGGGAACUGAAACAUCUAAGUACCCCGAGGAAAAGAAAUCAACCGAGAUUCCCCCAGUAGCGGCGAGCGAACGGGGAGGAGCCCAGAGCCUGAAUCAGUGUGUGUGUUAGUGGAAGCGUCUGGAAAGGCGCGCGAUACAGGGUGACAGCCCCGUACACAAAAAUGCACAUGCUGUGAGCUCGAUGAGUAGGGCGGGACACGUGGUAUCCUGUCUGAAUAUGGGGGGACCAUCCUCCAAGGCUAAAUACUCCUGACUGACCGAUAGUGAACCAGUACCGUGAGGGAAAGGCGAAAAGAACCCCGGCGAGGGGAGUGAAAAAGAACCUGAAACCGUGUACGUACAAGCAGUGGGAGCCUCUUUAUGGGGUGACUGCGUACCUUUUGUAUAAUGGGUCAGCGACUUAUAUUCUGUAGCAAGGUUAACCGAAUAGGGGAGCCGGAGGGAAACCGAGUCUUAACUGGGCGUUAAGUUGCAGGGUAUAGACCCGAAACCCGGUGAUCUAGCCAUGGGCAGGUUGAAGGUUGGGUAACACUAACUGGAGGACCGAACCGACUAAUGUUGAAAAAUUAGCGGAUGACUUGUGGCUGGGGGUGAAAGGCCAAUCAAACCGGGAGAUAGCUGGUUCUCCCCGAAAGCUAUUUAGGUAGCGCCUCGUGAAUUCAUCUCCGGGGGUAGAGCACUGUUUCGGCAAGGGGGUCAUCCCGACUUACCAACCCGAUGCAAACUGCGAAUACCGGAGAAUGUUAUCACGGGAGACACACGGCGGGUGCUAACGUCCGUCGUGAAGAGGGAAACAACCCAGACCGCCAGCUAAGGUCCCAAAGUCAUGGUUAAGUGGGAAACGAUGUGGGAAGGCCCAGACAGCCAGGAUGUUGGCUUAGAAGCAGCCAUCAUUUAAAGAAAGCGUAAUAGCUCACUGGUCGAGUCGGCCUGCGCGGAAGAUGUAACGGGGCUAAACCAUGCACCGAAGCUGCGGCAGCGACGCUGAUGCGUUGUUGGGUAGGGGAGCGUUCUGUAAGCCUGUGAAGGUGUGCUGUGAGGCAUGCUGGAGGUAUCAGAAGUGCGAAUGCUGACAUAAGU